rnacentral:rRNA from 1 species
UACGUAGGGGGCAAGCGUUGUCCGGAUUUAUUGGGCGUAAAGAGCGUGUAGGCGGCCAGAUAGGUCCGUUGUGAAAACUCGAGGCUCAACCUCGAGACGCCGAUGAAAACCAUCUGGCUAGAGUCCGGAAGAGGAGAGUGGAAUUCCCGGUGUAGCGGUGAAAUGCGCAGAUAUCGGGAAGAACACCCGUGGCUAAGGCGGCUCUCUAGUACGGUACUGACGCUGAGACGCGAAAGCGUGGGGAGCGAACAGG